rnacentral:rRNA from 1 species
AUUGAACGCUGGCGGCAGGCCUAACACAUGCAAGUCGAGCGGAUGAAGGGAGCUUGCUCCUGGAUUCAGCGGCGGACGGGUGAGUAAUGCCUAGGAAUCUGCCUGGUAGUGGGGGAUAACGUCCGGAAACGGGCGCUAAUACCGCAUACGUCCUGAGGGAGAAAGUGGGGGAUCUUCGGACCUCACGCUACCAGAUGAGCCUAGGUCGGAUUAGCUAGUUGGUGGGGUAAAGGCCUACCAAGGCGACGAUCCGUAACUGGUCUGAGAGGAUGAUCAGUCACACUGGAACUGAGACACGGUCCAGACUCCUACGGGAGGCAGCAGUGGGGAAUAUUGGACAACGGGCGAAAGCCUGAUCCAGCCAUGCCGCGUGUGUGAAGAAGGUCUUCGGAUUGUAAAGCACUUUAAGUUGGGAGGAAGGGCAGUAAGUUAAUACCUUGCUGUUUUGACGUUACCAACAGAAUAAGCACCGGCUAACUUCGUG